AUUGAACGCUGGCGGCAGGCUUAACACAUGCAAGUCGAACGAGUGGCGGAAGGGUGAGUAAUGCUUGGGAAUCUGGCUUAUGGAGGGGGAUAACUACGGGAAACUGUAGCUAAUACCGCGUACCCUGGGUUGAGCCCAAGUGGGUUUAGGUAGUUGGUGAGGUAAAGGGUCACCAAGCCGACGAUCUCUCGCUGGUCUGAGAGGAUGACCAGCCACACUGGGACUGAGACACGGCCCAGACUCCUAGGGGAGGCAGCAGUGGGGAAUAUUGCGCAAUGGGGGCAACCUGACGCAGCCAUGCCGCGUGAAUGAAGAAGGCCCUCGGGUUGUAAAGUUCUUUCGGUAGCGAGGCGUUAACUACAGAAGAAGCAACGGCUAACUCCGUGCCAGCAGCCGCGGUAAUAC
rnacentral:rRNA from 1 species